UAUAUAUACUGAGUAUACUUUAUUCAUAAAAUAUAUGUUGUCGUACCUUGCAUAACUGAAUAACCUUUAUGGCACAAUAACAAUUCAAUACAUUUAUGGUCACUACAGUAUUUGGAUUUUAUAAUCUUCAUGUGGGAAAAGGCUGACUCGCAUAAAUAAGUAGAGCCAAAUAAUGCAGUCAAGGAGGUAGCACGUUUCCUCAUGUCUUCUGCUUAAUGAUCGAGUGACUCACCCGGAACGAUGCUUCGGUGUGUCUGCCUUUGCUUUUGAAUUCAGCUGAGUGAUAAAUGACGGCUGUCUGAAUAACUGCGAUUUUAGUUCCCUCUCCUUUCUCUUUCUCAGAUCGCUUUUCGGAAGGAAGUCAGUCAGUUUCGUAGUUUUUAUGAACAGUUUGAAAGUGCCUUUCCACAUUUUCUUUCUUUGGAAUAGCAAUGAUAGAUUGACAGAUCAGACAAAUGCACUUCGAUUGUGACAUA